rnacentral:rRNA from 1 species
UUCUAAUUGCUUCACAAUUAGUAAGACCUGCUCAAUGAUUAUUAAAUGGCCAACUAAGCUAAGGUAGCACAAUAACUCGCCUAUUAAUUGUAGGAUGGAAUGAAAGGUCAAACAUGAAGUUUUCUUUAUUACUUUAGUUAAUUGAAUCUAUCGUGAAAGUAAAAAGACUUUCAUUUAUAAGAGGGACGACAAGACCCUGUCGAGCUUCACUUAUGUUUAGCUGGGGUGGCAUAAAACUAAAUCUUUUCAUAUCUUACAUUUUCAAUCCUAGAUUACGAUAAAUCAAGCUACCGCAGGGAUAACAGCAUAAUUUUUUUCAAGAGACCUUAUCAAAAAAAAAGAUUAUGACCUCGAUGUUGAAUAAGAUUCUCCUUAAAGCAGAAUUUAAGAAUGGAAAGUCUGUUCGACUUUUAAACACUUACA